rnacentral:rRNA from 1 species
UACGGGGGGGGCAAGCGUUGUUCGGAAUUACUGGGCGUAAAGCGUGCGUAGGCGGUUUAGUGUGUGGGAAUUGAAAGCCCGGGGCUCAACUCCGGAUCCGGUUCCCAAACUGCUAGACUCGAGCGUAUCAGAGGAGACUGGAAUUUACGGUGUAGCAGUGAAAUGCGUAGAGAUCGUAAGGAAGACCAGUGGCGAAGGCGGGUCUCUGGACAGUUCCUGACACUGAGGCACGAAGGCCAGGGGAGCAAACGGG